AGCGGCUCCUCUGUCCUCCACACCACCACCUCCUCCUCCUCGGAAUCGCCUGUGGGAGGGAAGCUGCGGAGCCUUGCGUGCAAGCGCUGCCAUAACCCAAGGCUUAACAUAAACUUCGGGCUCUCAGGUCAUUGGGAAAGAACAGGUAUAUCCGGUUAGGUCUUUUGUGCUUCUCUGCACGCAAAUUCAACAGCGCAAGCGCGCACGCGUGCAAAGCUGAACUCCUUGGAGCCUCUGGUUCCGGAGAAGGGAGGAUGCCUUGGAAUGGAAUUCGCGCAGUUUCCCCUUUUUUUUUUGUUUUUUUCACGGAGUGGGGGCGAUAGAGCUUGUGGACGGGGGACAUUCCUGCACCUCCGAGAGGCUGAGGAGACAUGUGUGCGGUCUGGUCCUCCACGGGUGACGUUCCCACGGUCAGCAAUUUCCCCACUUAGCGUGGUUGAGCAGCAAGCGAGUUCUUGGAACCUGGUAGAUCCGGAGCCAAAUUCCAGGGCUGGAAGAGAAGAAAGCAGAUGAACCUUCUAGAAAGCACCACAGUACUGCUCCCUUGGUGUCCAUCCCCAGGAAGGCCCACAGCACACCCUUGAAUUUUCACCCAGCCUGGCUUCCCCAUCUCUGCUGCCAGGGAUUGGUGAGUAUUCUCCUGGAGUCUUGUUUCACCCCUAGGGCUGCAAAACACACCCAUAAAAGCCAAAGCCUGGACAAGAGCCUCAGAAGGAGGGAGCCAGCAUGGCCCCUCCAGGAGUUUUUGGGGGAGCACACAGCCUUUGCAAGUUAGCAUUCUGCCUAGGCAAGCCUGGGUAAGGUAAAAUGGGGUGAGGAAGAAGUGCCGCAGAGCCACCAGCUGGAGUUGGAGGAAAUCACAGGUUGGCCACUGCCCCUUAGCCUGUCUGCCAAGAGUAGAGGGCUGGGUGAGAGAGCCUUUUAAAGGCAGCAGCAAAUGGCCUCCCACAGAACAGCCAGAACUGGUGCCGCCUGAGUGGCCGCCAUGGUACGGGCACCAGUCUACAAGCUUGGCGUGUGCUCGCUCAUUAGUCCUCACACAGCUCCUGGAACUAGUUCCUGUUGUCACUGCCAUUUUAUGGACGUCUAAACUGGGCCUGGAGGAAUGAAAUGAGAAAGCAAAGAAGCCUCUCAGCGCUACACGAAAGAGCGGCAUUCAGACCCUGGCAGUCUGGCUGGCACUCAGCGCAUUAUCUAAGAAAGAUACGCAGAAGCUCAGGGUUCUGGCUCUGGGCUGGCAGGGGCUGGCAGGAGCCGGCAGGGGCUGGCAGGAGCCGGCAGGGGGUGAGGGGUUGCUGUCCUAGUAGUUGUCACACAGAGCUGACAGACUAGGUGCUCAUUCCUGUGACGGAGACCCAAGCACUCCUUCAAGACCAAGAUUUGCAGCUCAAAAAUAAACUCAGUCAGAGUAAACAUAAUACUGAUACCACUACCGGUUGAUUUUUGAGGGUUCAUUUUGCCAUGAACUAUACUAAUUGAUUUUCUCAUUUACUCCCAUGACCAUGGGGAUACUAUGUUUUUGUUUGUUUGUUUGUUUGUUUUUUAAACUGAGCAAACUCAGGCUCAGGAAUGUCUAAUGGACCUUAAGUUACUGUUUAUAUAAAUAAGAGAAUCCAGACUUAGACCCACGGGUGCCAAGCUCCUGAUGACCGGUGUGUGGGACACAUGGCUUUUAGUCUCCUGUAAAGGACUGGAUGAGCUUGGAAGGCAUCUGGGCCUGAGCUGGUGGUGGAGGGAGGGGGAAUGUGAAGAACUGUUAUCAUUUCAGAGCAGGUCUGGGUGUGGGAUGCUGCUGUUUCUCUCCCCAGACUCUGUGAAGCCUCCUUUGGGAUGAGGAGAUUUGGAAUCCCCCCUUCUAAUGUUUCCAUGUCUUUAACCUGGGGUUCCCCUCAUUUGUCAGGAAGAACAGAUGUUCUGAGUACGCGCGCACACAGGUCCUUUAAAAUCAAGACUAGUUUGGAAGACAGGUGAUAUUUUUAACUUUGUGUUCCCCAUUUGCGAAGCUAAGUUAAAGUAACAGUGUCCUUUCUGUAAGAAGAGCAGCAGGUGCUAUGACCACGUGCUACCUGGUACAAAAAUCAAGGCUCCGUGGGGGAUACAAACUAGCAAGCCCUUUCAAGUGGCAAGGGGGUGAAAUUAUCCUAUAUGUCUGGGUAGACUCCAACACUUACAGAUACCUGCAGAAGUAGAAGCAAAAGCCAGAUCACUGAUGCGGAGUCAAUGAUAUUAGAGUCAAGGACAGCACAAAUGAUCACCCAAGUCAUUACUUGCGGCUAAAUAAAUUAUGUCAAAAACAUUCUCCAGAAUCAUCCAAAAGCAGCAGAUCUGCAUCUUCCUUCGAGGCCAACAUUGUUGGGCUGGAAAAGAUCACCAAAGAGUAAUAAUUCGAGUAAGAUCUCGUUCAUAUCAAAUAUAUGCACAUAAGUAGGGUUUCUCCAUCUGGGGUCUGAGAUGGAAUGGGAGUGCAUCUUUCCAGUUUUUCUGUGUGUCAUCUAUUGGUUGACUUUUGCAGAGCAAGAGUCUAUUUAUGUACUGUGCAUGCAUGUUUUAAGAAUGUAUUUCUGGGGUUGGAGGGACUGCUCACAACCAACUGUAUCUCCAGUUCCCGGUGAUCCAAUGCCCUCUUUUGACACACAUGCAUAUAUACAUAAUUUAAAAGCUCUAUCUGGUAUAUUUGGUCAAAACAGAAAAUAAUAAAAUGUGCAUAAUACUGUGAUCAUAGAAUAAUGUAAGUGUAGAAUACAGUACAAACCAUGGCCCAAAGAUCAUUGUCUUGAAGAAAUCAAGAGAGGGCCACAGUUACCUGGCCACAGACAGGCUCUUCAUACGCUUUUACUGUCCUGAUCUAGUGUUCUUUCUUCAAGGUUAACAAAAGUAUAAACAUGGUUUUUCUAGACAUAGUAACAAACUUGCUUCUAAAUAGCUGUCUCAAUAACCAUGGCUCAAGGGGCUGGAGAGAUGGCUCAGUGUUUAAGGGCACUGGCUGCCCUCCCAGAGGACCCAAGUUCAAUU